GAUGAACGCUGGCGGCGUGCCUAAUACAUGCAAGUCGAGCGAACAGAUAAGGAGCUUGCUCCUUUGACGUUAGCGGCGGACGGGUGAGUAACACGUGGAUAACCUACCUAUAAGACUGGGAUAACUUCGGGAAACCGGAGCUAAUACCGGAUAACAUAUUGAACCGCAUGGUUCAAUAGUGAAAGGCGGCUUUGCUGUCACUUAUAGAUGGAUCCGCGCCGUAUUAGCUAGUUGGUAAGGUAACGGCUUACCAAGGCAACGAUACGUAGCCGACCUGAGAGGGUGAUCGGCCACACGGGAACUGAGACACGGUCCAGACUCCUACGGGAGGCAGCAGUAGGGAAUCUUCCGCAAUGGGCGAAAGCCUGACGGAGCAACGCCGCGUGAGUGAUGAAGGUCUUCGGAUCGUAAAACUCUGUUAUCAGGGAAGAACAAAUGUGUAAGUAACUGUGCACAUCUUGACGGUACCUGAUCAGAAAGCCACGGAUAACUACGU
rnacentral:rRNA from 1 species